rnacentral:lncRNA from 1 species
GGGAGCUUUCCCCAUGGAGCUGGGGAGCUUCCCUUUGGAGCUGGGAGCUGGGGACAUUCCCCUAUGGAGCUGGGGAGCUUCCCACCUGGAUCCAGGAGCUGGGGAGCUUCCCCUUUGGAUCUGGGGGCUGGGGAGCUUCCCCUUUGGAGCUGGGGGCUGGGGAGCUUUCCUGUUGGAUCUGGGGGCUGGGGAGAUUCCCCUUUGGAGCUCGGAGCUGGGGAGCUUUCCCCAUGGAGCUGGGGAGCUUCCCCUUUGGAGCUGGGGAGCUUCCCACCUGGAUCCAGGAGCUGGGGAGCUUCCCUUUGGAUCUGGGAGCUGGGGAGCUUUCCUCAUGGAGCAGGAGAGCUUCCCUUUGGAUCUGGGAGCUGGGGAGCUUUCCCUUUGGAUCUGGGAGCUGAGGAGAUUCCCCCCUAGAUCUGGGGGCUGGGGAGCUUCCCCUUUGGGUUCAGGAGCUUCCCACCUGGAUCUGGGAGCUGGGGAGCUUCCCCUUUGGAUCUGGGAGCUGGGGAGACUCCUCUUUGGAUUCAGGAGCUUCCCUGUUGGAUCUGGGGGCUGGGGAGCUUCCCCUUUGGAGCUGGGAGCUGGGGAGCUUUCCCCAUGGAGCUGGGGAGAUUCCCCUUUGGAUCUGGGGGCUGGGGAGCUUCCCCUUUGGAUCUGGGAGCUGGGGAGACUCCUCUUUGGAUUCAGGAGCUUCCCUGUUGGAUCUGGGGGCUGGGGAGCUUCCCCUUUGGAUCUGGGAGCUGGGGAGCUUUCCCCAUGGAGCUGGGGAGAUUCCCCUUUGGAUCUGGGAGCUGGGGAGCUUCCCCUUUGGGUUCAGGAGCUUCCCUUUGGAUCUGAGAGCUGGGGAGAUUCCCCUUUGGAUCUGGGAGCUGGGGAGCUUUCCCUUUGGGUUCAGAAGCUUCCCUUUGGAUCUGGGAGCUGGGGAGAUUCCCCUUUGGAUCCAGGAGCUGGGGAGCUUCUCCUCCCAGUCAGCUCUGGAAUUGGGAGCCAGGGAAUUUGUCCUGCCAGUUCAGCUUCGGAAUUGGAAGCCCAGAGCUUCUCUUCCCACUUCCCACCUUGGAUUUUCGG